GAUGAACGCUAGCGACAGGCCUAACACAUGCAAGUCGAGGGGUAGCACAGAAUAGCUUGCUAUUUGGGUGACGACCGGCGCACGGGUGAGUAACGCGUAUGCAACCUGCCUAUAAGAGGGGGAUAGCCUUUCGAAAGAAAGAUUAAUACCGCAUAAUACUAUUUGCCUGCAUGGGUAAAUAGUUAAACUAUUUGGCUUAUAGAUGGGCAUGCGUUCCAUUAGAUAGUUGGUGAGGUAACGGCUCACCAAGUCAGCGAUGGAUAGGGGUUCUGAGAGGAAGGUCCCCCACACUGGUACUGAGACACGGACCAGACUCCUACGGGAGGCAGCAGUGAGGAAUAUUGGUCAAUGGGCGAGAGCCUGAACCAGCCAAGUCGCGUGAAGGAUGAAGGUCUUAUGGAUUGUAAACUUCUUUUAUAAGGGAAUAAAAAAGAUCACGUGUGGUUUAUUGCAUGUACCUUAUGAAUAAGCAUCGGCUAACUCCGUGCCAGCAGCCGCGGUAAUACGGAGGAUGCGAGCGUUAUCCGGAUUUAUUGGGUUUAAAGGGUGCGUAGGCGGUUUAUUAAGUCAGUGGUGAAAGUUUUCGGCUCAACCGGAAAAUUGCCNUUGAAACUGAUAGACUUGAGUGUAAACGAGGUAGGCGGAAUUCGUGGUGUAGCGGUGAAAUGCUUAGAUAUCACGAAGAACUCCAAUUGCNAAGGCAGCUUACUAGGCUACAACUGACGCUGAAGCACGAAAGCGUGGGGAUCAAACAGGAUUAGAUACCCUGGNAGUCCACGCAGUAAACGAUGA
rnacentral:rRNA from 1 species